AUUCCAUGGUGGGGACAUUUUCUUAAAAACUCCUUAAACCUUUUCCACGCAUCAUACAAUGAAUCGCCAUCUCUUUGAUUAAAAUUGUUUAUUUCACCUCUAUACCU